CCUACCUCGGGUCCCCUGGCCACUCACUCUCCUGCAUUAGGAAGGGUGUAAAUGGUGAAUGUGCCCCCGAAAAGAGGGUCCCGCUAUUAAAACACAAAAACGGUCUCUGAGAACAAGGGUAUCCGCUGUCUUAGGAGAGUUAAGGUCUCUUCUUUCAGGGAGUAAGAUGUCGUUUCACUGCAGACCCCACCGUACGUGCCUCGGGCUGUCGUGAAAUGUCUGUUUCGGGCUUGUUUCUGACUCACGAGGCCUCAACUUUGUGCGCCUCGACCUGCCUGCAGGAUGUCAGCUAGCGGAACACGGAAUACAAAAACGGCAACGGCAAGGACUCUUCAAAGACCCAGGGCGAGCUCGCGUAGCAACGGGGCCCGGAACCCACUACACGAACUGCCUCCAGCAUGCUGCUGCCCGGGCCCCCCCCCCCCCCCCCCCCCAGCAGGGUCCGGGAGCCUUUCGGGCCAGCCUGUGGCGCUCCUCGCCUGUGCGUGUAGGCGUGGAGGGCUUCUGGAGGAGGAGCCUCGUGGCUCUUUGGCAGUCGACUAUUUUCCUGACCGAGCCCGUGGAUGCUUCGGUAGCCGUGACAUAGACCAAAGCCACCGGUGUCUGUCCAGAGGGGACGAAGGGCGCCUGCUGGCUCUCCCACGUGAAACGCGUGUGGACGGCGGUGGAGUCUGGCCCCGCCCUGUCUGUGGACAAAGCAGCACGCCCGUGACUUUAAGGGAUCUUAAUUGGAUCUGGGGCCAAGGGAGAACUUGCCCUUGGCUCUGUCCAGGCUCAGCCGCAGAACAAGGCUCGAGAGCCCCAAGGUAUAGGCUGAAUGUCAUCUGAUCGGAGCUGCCGGAAAGAUCUUUUGGUUUUUUUCCAUUUUCUCUUUGGAUAUAGUCAAACGGCCUAUUGGGAAGAAUCAUGGGGACGUUUCUACAACUGUCUAACGCGGAGAGGCUGCGUGCGGGGGUCUCCCGGACCGCGGGAAGGGGAGUACAGACGUGUGAGCGGCUUCACUCCUGCCGCGAGCCUGAGGUGCCGCAUCUGGGAACCACGAAGACGGGGUCCUUACAGAGGUGAUUAAUCCACAGGGCGUCAAGGCAGGUACUACACCAGCGUGGCCGUGCCCCUACAGAAAGAAGAGAUGCAGACAGGCACACUCACGGGGAGAGUGCCAGGUGGAGGCAGGGAUGGGGUGACGCUUCGAUAAGCCAAGGAAGGCCAGAGACACUGACAAACACCAGAGGCCUGGCGAGAGCAUCCUGGCCCACAGGAGCCACCAGCCCUGCCCACGCCUCGACCUCGGGCUUCUGGCCUCCAGAGCUGGGGGGACUGUCCAUUGCUAAGCACAAGGCUGUGUGGAUCGCAGGAGGCCAGCCCGCCCCGCAGGGCACAGCGUCUGGUUCUCGAGAAGCGUGGGUUUGCACCAGAUUCCGAGGGAAACCUGAGCGCGGGGAGAGGCAAGAGGUAGGUGUUCAGAUUCCCUCAAAAGGGAAUCGGCACGCUGUCAAGCAACCCCUUUAACUCGUUUCAACGAAAUCGCACUUGAAAUAACUAAAAUUCGAAUUCCUGCCAUAUCACGAUGGCAUAUCAAGGACCCCCAACCUGUGAAUAAAACUGGAAAAGCAGAAA